CACACCUGUGCGAGUCAGUGUUUGUAAGAAAGUUGACUUGGCUCAAUGAAGGUGAAGGCUGGUGUACUCUCUGGCUGAGGGGGGAUUCCCAGGCCUCUCCAGUCUCCUGAGGGUGUACCACCUGCCCAUCUCACCAGGGCAGUGCUGGGUAGGUAGAGCACCAGAACACAUGUUGGGACCUGAAAGAUGGUGACCUAUGCCUGGGUCAGGGUGAAGCCAGAGGAAUCUAGUGGAGGUUCAUAGUGGUCCUGACAUGUAAAUCAAUCGGUCAUCCGACCUGGACAUAGGGGCAAAAGACUGAUGGAACCAUCUAGUAGCUUG
rnacentral:ncRNA from 1 species